UUGGAAGCUCUUCAAACAUGAUGGAGUGAGAAAUCCCACUGAAGAAUUCACGGACAAAUUUCCCAAUCACAAGGACAACUGAAGCAUAUAAUCCCAUAAUACUGAAAAAAACAGGUUACCCCUCAGCAAAGCUACAUGCAGAACAUGGGGUCAACCCCACUCCCCGACUUGGAAAUGUGGUUUAUCUUCAGGAGGGAUCCAUUCAUUUCAGCAGAUUAAGAGUCGUCCUGCGAGCCGAAGGACAGAUGCUCGAAGCUCACAGCCUUGCUGUAGGAGGGUGGGGCCUCCACGUCCC